rnacentral:rRNA from 1 species
CGGCGAGUGAAGUGGGAAGAGUCCAAAACAGGAUCUCCCGGCCAUUGGGCGGCGAGAAAUGUGGUGUAUAGGCGGCCGAUUGUCGCCGGCGUCGAGCGCCCAAGUCCUCCUGGUUGUGGCCUUACCCAGAGCGGGUGUCAGGCCCUUUUGGCGCGAGACCGGCGGCUUCAAGCCUCCUCGGAGUCGGGUUGUUUGGGAAUGCAGCCCAAAGCGGGUGGUAAACUCCACCUAAGGCUAAAUACUGGCACGAUUCCGAUAGCGGACAAUUACCAUGAGGGAAAGUUGAAAAGAACUUUGAAGAGAGAGUUCAAAAGUACGUGAAACCGCAUAGAGUCCGGAAAGUCGACCCGGGAAAUUCAGCUCGGCCUACCGCCUCCCUACCGGAGCCGAGGAUCCUCUGAUAGGACCACGUCCGGCCGGCGCUCGUGCCUGGCCGGGUGCACUUUCUCCGCGUCGAGUGCCACGACCGAUUCUGCGAAUCUGUCGGUCCUCCACCCUGACCGUCUUGAAAUACGGACCAAGGAAUCUAAUAUGUGCGCGAGUCAUGGGGUGCGUACGAAACGCUAAGGCGUAAUGAAGUACCCAGUCAGGAUCUCGCCCCCUCUCCGGGGACGGGCGAACUGCCUGCCCGUCUCGGCGGCAUCGUCCGCGAGGCGGAGCAAGAGCGCACACGUUGGGACCCGAAAGAUGAUGAACUAUGUCUGAGUAGGGUAAAGUCAGAGGAAACUCUGAUGGAGGCCCGCAGCGAUUCUGACGUGCAAAUCAAUCGUCAAAUUUAAAUAUAGGGCUAAUAUAGACUAAUCGAACCUC